AUGAAUGAAUCAUCGCGUUAAUGCACUAGAUCCCAUUAAAACUCCACAAUUAAGCGUGCUCAGGAUAGAAUAGUACUAGGAUGGGUGACCAGCUAAGAAUUCCUAGCAUUUUACAUU
rnacentral:rRNA from 1 species